AAGUCAAUUGCUCCAUCAAUCUAUGGCCACGAUGACAUAAAAACUGUAAUAGCUCUUGCAAUGUGUGGAGGUUAAGAGAAAAAUGUUGAAGGGAAACAUCGGUUGCGAGGGGACAUAAAUGUGCUCCUGCUAGGUAACCCAGGGACAACAAAAUUCUUAGUUUCUCAAGUAUGUUGAAAAGAUUGGCCAUAGGGCUGUUUAUACAACUGGGAAAGGAGCCUCUACUGUAGGGCAGACAAUGGCAGUACACAAGGACCCAGUCACACGAGAGUGGACACUUGAAGGAGGGGCCCUUGUACUUGUCGAUAAAGAGAUAUGCCUUGUUGAUGAGUUUGACAAGAUGAAUGAACAGGAUGGGUAAGUAUCCAUGAAGCAAUGGAGCAGCAGAGUAUUAGCAUAUCAAAGGCUGGGAUUGUCACUUCUUUCCAAGCUCGAUGCUCUAUUAUUGCUGCUGCAAAUCCUGUUGGUGGAAGCAUGGACAAGGAGUUCCCAUUGCAGUGAGGGACAUCGAAUCAAUGAUUCAGAUGUCUGAAGCACAUGCAAGAAUGCACCUCAGACAACAUGUUACUCAAGUAGAUGUGGACAUGGCAAUUCGUGCCGUGCUUGAUUCAUUCAUUUCAACACAGAAAUUUGGUGUUCAGAAAGCUUUGCAAAAGAGGGCUUGUGAAGGAUGCACUGCACUUUGAAGAAAUUAUGUCUGGCUCUGUUUCAAAUCUAAUUCAUAUUCAUGUGAAAGUGGAGGAGCUAUAGAGCAAGGUACUAUAAAUUUGCAUUCAACUCGUUUACUUUUUGGAUAAUUAUACUUUUUCGAUUAAUGCAAGUUAUUAAAGAUAAAAAAAUUGUGCCAAGGGUGCAUCACUCAUUUAUAGGAAAGAUGAAUGAGUCACUUGAGGAGCAUUUAGAGAUGACAUCAAGCAUCAUGGAGUUUCUUAAGAAGCAAGGUUUCAAAGGACAAUUUAGAGGAGGUGGUAUCCCAUGAACUUGUUGAUUGCCGUUUUGAUGGUCUCUUCAAGAAGAGCGGCGAGCUCUGCAACUUGUGCGGCACCGAAGCCGCCGUCAUCACCUUCUCCAACGCCGGCAACACCUUCGCCUUCAGCAACCCCUCCGUCGACUCCGUCCUCGACCGUUACCUCUCCAUGACUUCAUCAUCCUCCAGAGCCUCCGCAAGCUUCUCUUCCUUCUUUCGACAUAGGGUUUCAACUCAAAUCUGUGCACCAUGAACGAUUCCGAUCUCUAAUCUCCCGAGAUCGACCUACGUGAACCGUUGUAGAAUCGGCGAAUCCCUCAUCAGCAACCGUUGAUCAAACACAGUUCCUGCAAAUCGCACUGAUACACAUAUAUAUAUAUAUAUAUAUAUGUUUUGAGUCUUUAAGAUUGGAGAUUUGAAUGAUUUUUUA